rnacentral:rRNA from 1 species
GACGAACGCUGGCGGCGUGCUUAACACAUGCAAGUCGAGCGGUAAGGCCCUUUCGGGGGUACACGAGCGGCGAACGGGUGAGUAACACGUGGGUGACCUGCCCUCAGCUCUGGGAUAAGCCCGGGAAACUGGGUCUAAUACUGGAUAUGACUCCAUGACGCAUGUUGUGGGGUGGAAAGCCUUGUGCGGCUGAGGAUGGGCCCGCGGCCUAUCAGCUUGUUGGUGGGGGAUGGCCUACCAAGGCGACGACGGGUAGCCGGCCUGAGAGGGCGACGGCCACACUGGGACUGAGACACGGCCCAGACUCCUACGGGAGGCAGCAGUGGGGAAUCUUGCGCAAUGGGCGAAAGCCUGACGCAGCGACGCCGCGUGAGGGA